CCUAUCGAACAUUCUCAUGCCACUCUCAUCUCUUCAUUGGCGAUCGUUGUCGUUCGCGUCCUCAUCGCCGUCCGCCGUCCACCGUCCUCCCAUCCACUGUUCUCCCGUCCACCGUUCGCGUCCUCACCGCCGUUCACCGUUCUCGUCACGGAUGCAUUGGGUGGAGAUGACAUUGAUAUUGUAGCUGCUUCCCAUGAAGAACUAGACGCGGAGUUAGAAUCGUUGAGGGAAAAACUAGCUGAGGUUUCCUUAAAUUAUGGCAAAUAUUGCUAUGGUUGUUGCAAGUAAUGUGGGUAAAUAUUUGGCGGGACCAGCCAUUCGGGAAAUUCAAUACCUUCUUUGUGUUAAUAAUGUAAUCAAUCUUCUUGAGAAUGAAAGAGAGAUGCUGGCAGCUGAAAGAAACAACUUGCAGACUCAUUUUGCACAAGCAAUGGAAAAAACUGAAGUAACAGCCAUUCAAAUGAGAUUCUGCUUUGGUUUCUUCAUUAAAUACAUAUUGAAUUGAUGAAGGGAAGUAUAUCAUCAUCUGCUUGAUUUUGUUACACUGAAUUUCUUUUGCUAUUAGAUUCGAGGAUUGACAUGGCCUUGUUUGCUUGUUGGAUUGGUUGCUCAGAGUGCAAGGUGCAAACAUACUAUUUUUUUUCAUCCCUUCCUGUUUUCAGGUUGUUGCUUCGUAUAUGAUGGCUAUAAUUAGUCUUUCCGCUUCUGUAUUUAUUUCCAUGAUGCUAAAGAUUGAAUACAAUAUUUUUGUUAUAUUUGUUGCUCUUUAUCUCGAGUAGUCGAACCCUUAAAUGUAACUGAAAGUUUCGAUGUUUAUUCAGGCUGGAUAGGAUCUACGAUUUAUAAGUUUGUCGACGACUGGAUGCUUUUGUUUAAAUGCUUUAGUAUUAUCGAUCUUAUGUAGUAGAUAUGGUUUGCAAGGCUGUUGGUUUUCCCUUGUUGGAUUUCAAUGGGCUCGGUUUUUUGUGGCCCUUCUGCGCCUUCUAUCUCCCAACGGCAUUUUAUACUCAGAAGAAAGAAACAAGCCAAUAUGAGCUGCAAAAGUUGAAGACUGCAUAGUUUUGGAGCUACAUUUUAAUUUUAGUUCAUUAUAGAUUAUACAAGUAUAAGCAUGUUGUCUGUUACAAUUCAGUGGAGGGAAACUACUGGUGCUGAGAUGUAUCAGAAACUAAGCAGGGAAAUGGGGACGUGAUGUGGGGAAAUUAAACCCACCGCCCCUAACAUAUAUCCUUGGUGAUCAAAAGGAGGUGCCACGAGGUAAAGGUAAUCGGUAAACCUUUCUAUUUUUAUGGUGGCUUUCAACAUGAAUCUGGCUUGAAAGCGUUGAAGCGCUGAAUUUUUGGUUAACAUUUCUACUGGUUUUUUACCCUCCUUGUAAUACUUCUAGGGGAGCAAAUAUUAAUAUAGAUAUAUAUUUUUAUUUUUUAAAUAUAUUUCCUGCGGAUUGUUUUCUGCGGAUUUAGCUGCGGAAUUACCUGCGGAACUUCCUGCCGAAAAUAUUGUCUCCGAAGGUUUUAGCUGGGGACAAGAAACCGCAGGAAAAUCCCCAGGUAACGUGUUUCCUGCGGAAAUUUAGCCAGAAUCCGCAGGUAAAUCCACAGGAAAUUUGAAUAUUUCUAGUAGUGUUUCUUAAGUGAAAAUGUUUUAGAAGUGAGAAAUCUAUCAAAAACUUUAUUAGUGAGACUGAAAAAACGACUUGUUUAAGGAAGUGAAAGUGAAUGAAUGUUAUUGUUAACACAAAAAAAGAGAUGAUUCUUACUUUAUAAUAUAGCAUUCACUCUUGAAAAAAUAAUUCAAUAUACAAUAAAAUAAAAAUAAUAUAAAAAUUGAUAAUGAAAAAAAUAAUAACAUUAGUAUUAAAUUAAUAUCAAAAUAAAUUAUUUUAAUUAAAAUCACUAAAAACUACUAUUAAAUUAAAUAAGUGCAAAAUCAAUAUUACAACCUAAAAGUUCCAUUGUGAGAAUAUUAUAUGACGAUUCGGGUUCGAAUCCCGAUCGCUAUACUUCAAUCUACCUGAUAAAUUUGAUUGUAAAGACAAAAAAUUCGUAUACUUUCUCCUAAAGUAAUUAUAAAUACUUAAUAGUGUUAGUCAUUAUAAAUUAUUAUUCAUUAUUUUUUAUAUAAUAUAAUGCAUUUUAAUUCUAAAG